CGGAAGAGCGAGCCGCUUUCCCGGCGCGGGCGGGGGAGUGUCUCCAAGGCCGUCCUCUCUGGCUGUGGCGGAGAACCGGGGAUGCCCACGCUCCCCGUAAGCCAUGGCUCGGGCACCCCCUUCCCGGUCCCGGCAAUGAAAAGGAGUGAACACUGCUACAUGAAACAAAAUAGAUGGAUUUCACAGAAGUGAUGGGGUAUAGCCACGUGUAGCAAAGUCCACCACAUCUGAAGUAUACCUGCCCUCCAAAUCAAGAUUCAGAACAUUUCCAGUGCCCAAGAAGACUCCCUUUUUCUCCUCUUAGUUUAACUUCUAAGUCACCUUGAGGCUUCAAUAACUUCUUUCUGUGGAAGAAGUGGAUUAGAAGAGAAAAAACACUAAAACUAGGAGUCAGCCAAGGGGCUGGACCAUGGCUCAAGUGCUAGAACACCUGCCCAGCAAGUGUGAAGCCACAAGUUCAAAUGUCUUCUUAACCUGGAAUCUGAAGUGUACGUCUAGGAGAUUUGUGAAUACUCUAAAAGUUUAUGCUCCUUCUACAUGGUAUAUUUGCAAGCAAGAGUAACUCUGAAAUCAGGAUGAAUAGCAUUGUCCUCACAAUGCAAAGACUCAUGCACUUGGAGCACUCUAGGUGAGAGAAAAAAAUCACAGAUUUUGCCAUGCGAUAAAAUGCAUCAUCUUCUCCAUUUCUUCAUCAAGGUACAACAACCUCUGGAAAUGAUUUCAAUCUACACUACAGCACCAUAGACGGCUCCCUGGAUAAGACACCAAUCUAGUAGGGAGAACACAGAUCUCAGUGUUGGACCUAGAAAGGAAUCUUGUCUUUACUACGUAGCCUGCUCUGCAUCUCACACUGACGCUGGUGUACCUGAGUGAAGCACCAGAGUCAGAACUCAGGGCUGCAUGCUUGCAGGCGCUGUACAACUGGACCCACUCUACCAGCCGAAACUUCUUUUAUUUAGACAAGAUGAGGAGUAUGAAGCAGAGUUUAAAUAACACUCCCAAGAUUGUGUGGCUACAAAGUGACAGAGAUCGGUUCUGAACUCUAUUGCCAGCCCUGAACCCUGUUACCUGAGAACAGGGAGUGAAGUAAGGAUCACCGCCUUCAGAGUCAGACCGGACUGAGGCUGAAUUGCAGCUUGGAGAAGCAAGGAAGACCAGCUCAGAACUGGGAUUGGAGAACAGAGAGACACUUAUCGGUGACAGAACUUUUGCCACUCUCUACCUUAACUUAGACCUGUACUUAACUGAGGUUAAAAGCGAUAAAGCAGCCAGGUGCUACUCAAAUUGUAGAGUUACUCUGGUAUUUCCAUUAAGAGGAGUUUUUAAUCUGGACGAAGAAGUAAAAGUUUACACCAAUUGCUUCCAGAACAGGAAUAAUAAGAGCCCCAUUUCCCAAGUGAUUUCAAGGCACCAGAAUUGUGUUUUAUGAGCACUGUAUGUUUUAUCUCACAAGCCACUUUGGGAGAUACUCUCCCGAACCUGAUGAGGUAGGUGCUGCUGUUGUCCCUAUUGUCGCUGUACCUUGUGAUAUGUCAAAAUGCCUGGAAUAUGUACACAGUCAUUCUAAGUGCUCACGUAAGUAAAACACAGCUAGAGUUUCACUAGAAACUCAGUAAAUGUUUGCUUAAUGAAAACACAAAGGGCUUGUUUAGCAGUUGUGUGUCUUGGGCUGUAGCCUUUGAGAAGCAUGUGGAAAAAAAGAAGCACUGCCAUCCCUCUUAGCAGAACAUCGGAGAUGGUAUCACGUGACUAGACAGCUGCUGUUUUCCCCAUCGUGAUUCAGGCUCAGAAUUGUUCUUUAAUCCUUAAUUUCACCAUUAAAGAGAGUUUCUAUCAAGUGCUUCAGAAGUACACAGUGUGAAGGGUCAUUAAUGGUCCCCUGCUGGUGACUGAGUGAGUGGGAGGACCCAUGUUCCUGGCCGUCAUGGGCACUGCAUUCAGUGUGGGCAGAAAUACAGGCUGGAGGGUGAGGGGUGCCAAGGACCUGUUUUCCUCCCACUUCCUUACUCUUGUCAGUGGGUCACUGUGUCUCCUUUGUAGUCCAACCAGUCACUCCUGGGCCAAUCUAAGAAUAUAUUCAUUCUUUUGCUAAGGUGGGGGAAAAAUUGCAUUCAAGGUUCAAGUAAUUUGAAGUUCCCUUCCUUUUAUAUCGAAGUCUUGCACCCAUGUUGUUAUAAAGUUAAAGCACUGGAUUAAGUUUGCUCCUUUGUUACUUUUUUCCAGCUAUUAUGCACUUGGCUCCCUAGAAGGCUAUUCUAUGGUUUUAAAAAAAAAAGUUGUAAGUUGACAAAAUGAUAAUUCUAACCAAAAAAUAGGAACUCCAAUUUAAUAGUGUAUUGUUGACAGUUACUCAAUUUUUCAAUCCAGUCAUAAUGAGACAAGACUCUGCAUAAACCAACGACCACACAGAUUAUCAGUGGUAAGUAUCAACAGGGUGUGGAGGAAAUGGGUUAUGAUUUCUUCUUCUCCCAACUGCUGUAAUGUUUUGCCUUUCAGAAAUCAGUUGUUAAGAGUACGUUAAGCCCUGGCAUACCAAGGUAUAACUGUCCCAACAACACAAAGGUAGGGUGAGUGGCACAGGCACGACUUUUUCACCCUUGUUCUCGCAGGGACUCUCUCCACCAAGCUCUCUUUCUCUCUUUGUUCUCAAGUGUUACUAUGUCAUGUCAUUGUGUCAAUUCAGUCUAUUGGAAGUUCCUGUGUCCUCUGUAAUUUAGGCUUUACACAACAUAUGAUUUACUCUGUUAUUUGAAAAAAAAAAAAAAAGUCUAGCUGUUUUCCCUGACUGGAAGACUGGCAUCCUUAAUCUUCUAUAGAAAUCGUGAUGAAGGAACAGAUAAACCUAAGUAAAUCCAGCUCCUUUAAAUGUGUCAACCAGUUAAAAACUAAAAGUUGAUUUUGUCCUGAACGUCCUUCCUUGCUGGGUACAUUAUGCAGAAAAAGGGGCCCCAGCCCAUUUGCAGGGCUCUGAAUGAGCUCCAUUCAUUCUGUCCUUGGAAGUGUCUCUUGAGCCACAAAGAGAAACAAUAGUGUUACAACCUAAUUUCUUUGGCACAGAUAUGGGUAGAGGAAAAGCCAAGAGACCAUUAUGAAAACUCUAAUACUUUCUCUUGGUGGUUAUAUAAUUUUGUAUUCAUUGGUGGUAUUUGUAUAUUUAAGAAGUAUGUUUUCUAAAAGGUUAUAAAGUGGUUCUGUCAUACUGUCAUAUCACAUUUCAUGCACAGGGCAACAUUUUUAAAAUGGAGUGUUUGAAAGUAAUUUGUUUCUUAUGGUUACUAAAGUUUAAAAAAUACACUAACAUGUACCCUGAGGCUUUAAGAGAGAAUCUUUGUGUUUUUCCUUAUUGUGUUUUUAAAUCUGAUAAGAAUUUAAAACCACAGUUUUGUGAGCUAAAAUCCAUUAAUCAGGUUCCACGUUUACCUGUAGAAGUCAGUGAUGGGCGUAGAGGUGUCAUGUUUAUAUGAUUUCCAAGCCUCUGGAGUAAGCUGGUCUCAGUGCAGCUCUGAUGUGAGCAUAUUACUCCACCACGACUUCCCACAGUGCUUAAGGGUAGGCCAGUCUUCCAUGCACAUUAGAAAGUUCCCUUUCUGGCUUCUGAUUUUUGCAACUCUGCCCUUUUAGCCUCAUCUCCUGCCUCUUCCCUUGCUGAACUUUCUUCAGCUGGCCUGGCUCUUUCUCUUCUGGAUUUCUGCUUAUUCCUGCCAAGAAGUUUCCACCAUCCCCCCCCCCAUCCUCAUCUCCAUCCUCCCAUUUAAUCUGAUGGGCCUUCACUCACCUUUAAGACAGCCUGAAGGUACUUUUUCAGGAAGACUUUUAGUUGUAUUAACUGACCAGUUAAUAGUUCUAUGUAUUUGCAGCUGAGAUUACGUGGGGAUUACAAGCAGGAGAUGAAGGACUUUCUAAACUGCACUUGCAAGGUUUGGAGUGGCAAAUCCUCCUCUGUUUGAAAACUUUGCAGGAUCCACUGAUCUAGAAGGAGUCAAUGGGCAGUGGACGAGGAAACACUGCAGUCAUCUCUUUGCUCUAUGUGAUGAGCCCUGGGAAAAAUUGCUUGCUUCCAUUGGAUGUUUGGAAUCCCUGCUAAUUCAUCCUUGAGACCUAUCAGCUGCCAAUGUUUGACCCCUGUUGUCAUGUACUGGCACCUCCUCUGGGUGGUGAGCCUAUGUACUGAGAGAACGUGGUACACUUCACACUAGUGCAUUCAAAAGCUCUCUUGGUAGAAGCCAUCGGGAUCAUGAAACAUGAGUACUCUGGAUCACCAUGAAAUGUGGCUCAGUGAUGUGGCAUUACAAACUUGACACAGUCCUGUUGGUGACCUGUAGAAGGCUUGGAAUGGAGUACACAGAUAGACAUCUGCAGUAGCUAUUAUCUUUUGGAGACUCAAGAUUGAUUUUUGUAUUUCAGAAUUAAAUAAUUUUUCAAUGUGAUAUUGCAUGGCAGGUGGUAGCAAAAACUUUGUUACGUAUUUUUAAAGACAAAAAAUUAUUUCAUAAUGCCUUUUAACUGAUUUUCUUAUAAAACUCCCACCAACUUAUUACCAAGUCAUCUGUCUCAGAUGUAACUUCUCAGUCCAAGCUAAUCUUUCUGUGAAUUUGUUUGUUACUUCACAGUUGUGGUUCAUGUCUGUCCAAAGUUGUCCAUUUGUUCUUCUGUCCCCAUAUUAUGAAAAGUCGAUCUAGAGCUCUCUGUACUCUACAGCAUGAAAGGCAAUCCAUUUUUCAAAUUUCUACAGCAGGUGAAGGGAAGCACUUCACAGCACUGGCUGAAGCUCAGCUCAUCUGUUGUUCCUAAUCGCACAGCCAUCUGAGUCUCAUGGCCUGCCCCUUGCAGAGGUGACCCCAGUGGGGGUCUCGUCCUCUGUGGUGCCACUUAAGAAAGCCAGUGCAGGGUGGAUGUAGUGGAAAUAUUAUGUAGUUGUGCAUGAAAAUGUUAAAGUGAGACCUGCUGAACUACUCCAGGAAUUGGUUAAUGGGGGACAAAGGAGAAUGAGGGAGGGGGUGAAUUCAACUCUGAUAUAUUGUAAAAACUUUUGUAAAAUAAACAAAAAAGAAAGUCAGUGGACCCACUACCUACAUCUUGUUUCUUAUCCAAAAUGUUGAGGGUCUAUACAUUGUAACUUAACCAUUUCGAAUGUAAUAUGGCAUUAUACCAAAGAGGAUUUGUCAUAGUAAUAUAUGAAACGUAGUUCAUAGAAGUAUAGCAAAGAGAUUUCCAAGACCUCAUUGAGUUCAGUGGAUAGGAAGGACAGGUUAGAAAUAAGGAGGCCUGACAUUCUUUCCUCAGGUCUGCUUAUUACACAUGCGUAUUGGAGGCCAACUGUUUAAAUUCUGUAUGUUUGACCAAGAAAGGGAAAGAAGUUGAAGGAAUACCCAUUCCUUUUAAGAGUAAGAUCCAGAAUUUACACACAUCAAUUCUGCUCACAUACCUUGGCCAGAGCUUAGUUGGUUGGUCACAAGAAAAAGGAGGCUAUUGGUAAGGAUCUCAGACUAUUGGACAGCAAUGAGUGGCUCUCCUUGUUGUCCCCUUUCGUCAGGAAAGCAAAUGUCUUUCAGAAGUCUUCCCUGCCCACCACAGCAAAUUUCUGCCUGGUCACAUUUCUGGAUAGGUUCCGUGGUUAGCCCCAGCCACAAGGAAGCUGGAGUUGCAGGAGGCAGAACGGACUGGAUUGGCUUUGACCAAAGUUUCCCAAGCUGUUCUGUGUUCAAGCUUCCUUGGGUCUCAGCGAUUUUUUUUUUUAGUAGUGCUUAUGGAGAUUCAUACAUGCUUAAUUUAUAGCUUAAUAGCUAUUGAAAAAAACCAUGUAAAGUAAAAGUAAUACCUUUUUCUUUCUUAAGUAACCGCAGUUACGAAUGAGAUAAGUAUCUCUACAAGUUCUUGAACGUUGGAAUCACGCGGAACCAUGCUGCCUUCAUUUCUCGCAUCCUUGCUUUUUUAUCACAGAAACCAAUGAAAACCCAACUUUGCAAUGACCUGACCCCUAACGGAAUGUAACGUAGCACGUUUUACUGCGGAAGGUGUGGAUUACCUCAGGCUGGGAGUUUAUUGCCAUCAAAUGUCAUCCUGUUUCCCUUGAAAAGUUGAAAUGUGCCCUCACCGCUACUCAGUGAGUUUACUUUGGCACCCUUGGGGAAUGGAUGUACAGUUCGGGAAGCAUGGGCUCAGACCAAUCAUGAGUCAUUUCCUAGGGCUGGACAUAUUACUCCCCAGAUAAGAAUUAGACUUUGUUGGGUCUCAGGAAAUGAAACCCAAAAUAUACUACGGUGGCAUGCUGACUAUUUUGAACUAAAGGAGAUUAGAUUUUAGAAACAAAAUCUCUGGCCUUCUCCUACUCUCCUGUCUCUCGCCCCUUUUUCUCCCCUGAAGCAAGACAUAGAAACUAGAAUUCUUCCCCAAAGUGAGUCACGGAAACCACAAUCCCUCACUUCAGAGGGUCCUGUCCCUUACCCCGAGGGAGGAAUGCUAUGCUAAGAAGAGCAAGAAGAAUCUGAACAAACAGGCCUUGCUGGGUUUUCCUUCCAUGUGUUACCUUUAGGUCAGAAGCUUUUGUUCAAGCACACAUCUACACAGCCAGCCAUUCUUCCCUGAGCCUAAGCAUACAGGUAGACAGUGUUUCCUGGGACUUUUCUUCAGUUCUAAUGUCUCCCAUGUCACAUAAAACUCAGAUUAAAUAAAUGUGUGAUCUUUUUCUCUUGUUAAUCCGUCUUUUGUUCCAGGAGAUUCAAUUGUAAUCCUUAUGGGUUUGGAAAGGAAUGACACCUUUCUGUACCUCCACCUUCUUUUAGACAGAAGAGAGAAUGAAAAUUAUUUAGGAAACUAACAAUUUCUGCCUCAGUCUACCCCAACUAGACCACAUGCUCUGAGAGCAGUGUUCACACACUGGUUUAUGUGUCUCUUUACUCUUGGUACUUACAUGGAGCACAGUACAUAUUUACUAAAUGAAUGAAGAAACAAAGACAAUUUAGCUGACAAAAUGAUUAAUCUAUUGGUCAUAGAAUGAUAAAUUAUGGGAAAUUAGUUGCCUAUACAAGUUUUUGUGUGAAUUCAAGGCUUAGACAACGCAUGCCUUCCUCAUUUCUUAAAAGUGCCCAGUCAUUGUUUGGCUGAAAGGAGGAUAUCGAAAAAGGUUGGUUGGAUGAAUGAGCAGAUGUCUUGGUUAGAGCUAUUCUGUGUCCAAAUACCAUUACAAGAGUUCAAUUAACUGAUAAUGAAAAUUCUUACUCAUGAGUUCUCAAUGCAAGUAUCUGUGCUGAUUGCCAAGACAGAAAAAUAACCACUCCCUCUCAUUGUUAAGGAUGUAAAGCUGUCUCUUGCUACCUGUAAAGUCACCAUUAGAAAAACUGACACAAAAGGACAAGCAAAUGAUUUUGAGAUUUCAAAAAGCACAUUUUCCACAUUAUCAGAAGCCAAACUAUUUAAUAAUUGAAGAUCAUUUCACAAAGUCCAGAAAGAUGAUUGCAUACUUAUUUUUAA